CCUACGGGUGGCAGCAGUGAGGAAUAUUGGUCAAUGGACGAGAGUCUGAACCAGCCAAGUCGCGUGAAGGAUGACUGCCCUAUGGGUUGUAAACUUCUUUUAUCAAGGAAUAAAACGAGGCACGCGUGCCUUCUCGCGUGUACCUUAUGAAUAAGGAUCGGCUAACUCCGUGCCAGCAGCCGCGGUAAUACGGAGGAUACGAGCGUUAUCCGGAUUUAUUGGGUUUAAAGGGAGCGUAGAUGGGUGGUUAAGUCAGUUGUGAAAGUUUGCAGCUCAACCGUAAAAUUGCAAUUGAUACUGGCAGUCUUGAGUACAGUUGAGGUAGGCGGAAUGCGUGGUGGAGCGGUGAAAUGCUUAGAUAUCACGAAGAACCCCGAUUGCGAAGGCAGCUUACUAAACUGUGACUGACAUUGAUGCUCGAAAGUGUGGGUAUCAAACAGGAUUAGAUACCCCAGUAGUC
rnacentral:rRNA from 1 species